GAAUAUUGGACAAUGGACGAAAGUCUGAUCCAGCCAUGCCGCGUGUGUGAAGAAGGCCUUCGGGUUGUAAAGCACUUUCAGCGAGGAGGAAGGGUGUUGUUUUAAUAGAACAGCAUUUUGACGUUACUCGCAGAAGAAGCACCGGCUAACUCCGUGCCAGCAGCCGCGGUAAUACGGAGGGUGCGAGCGUUAAUCGGAAUUACUGGGCGUAAAGCGCGCGUAGGGGGCUAAGUAAGCCGGUUGUGAAAGCCCCGGGCUCAACCUGGGAACGGCAUCCGGAACUGUUUAGCUAGAGUGCAGGAGAGGAACGUAGAAUUCCCGGUGUAGCGGUGAAAUGCGUAGAGAUCGGGAGGAAUACCAGUGGCGAAGGCGGCCUUCUGGACUGACACUGACGCUGAGGUGCGAAAGCGUGGGUAGCAAACAGG
rnacentral:rRNA from 1 species